UACGUAGGGGGCCAGCGUUGCUCGGAAUUACUGGGUGUAAAGGGUUCGUAGGCGGUGUGGCAAGUCGGGAGUGAAAUCUCUGGGCUCAACCCAGAGUCUGCUUCCGAAACUGCUGUGCUUGAGUGUGGGAGAGGCGAGUGGAAUUGCAGGUGUAGCGGUGAAAUGCGUAGAUAUCUGCAGGAACACCCGUGGCGAAAGCGGCGCGCUGGACCACUACUGACGCUGAGGAACGAAAGCUAGGGGAGCAAACAGG
rnacentral:rRNA from 1 species